rnacentral:misc_RNA from 1 species
GAUGAAGAACGUAGCGAAAUGCGAUAAGUAAUGUGAAUUGCAGAAUUCAGUGAAUCAUCGAAUCUUUGAACGCACAUUGCGCCCGCCAGUACUCUGGCGGGCAUGCCUGUUCGAGCGUCAUUUCAACCAUCAAGCCCCCGGCUUGUGUUGGGGACCUGCGGCUGCCGCAGGCCCUGAAAACCAGUGGCGGGCUCGCUGUCACACCGAGCGUAGUAGAUUUUCAUCUCGCUCAGGGCGUGCUGCGGGUUCCGGCCGUAAAAAGCCUUAUUUACCCAAGGUUGACCUCGGAUCAGGUAGGAAGACCCGCUGAACUUAAGCAUCUCAAUAAGCGGAGG